rnacentral:sRNA from 1 species
CUGGACGCCACAAUGGGUCCGGCUGGGACAAGAGGGCGUCGGCUCUCUAUUCCGACCCCUCUCAUGCCCAAAUUGCUCAAUGGAGGAUUUGGCUAUGAGGA